AGCAGCCGCGGUAAUUCCAGCUCCAAUAGCGUAUAUUAAAGUUGUUGCAGUUAAAAAGCUCGUAGUUGAAUUUCGGGAUCAAUAUGUUGGUCGUGCCUUUGGUACGUACUAGCUUAUUGAUUUCUCCCUUCUGACGAACCAUGAUGUCAUUAAUUUGGUGUCAUGGGGAAUCAGGACUGUUACUUUGAAAAAAUUAGAGUGUUUAAAGCAGGCUUACGCUUGAAUAUAUUAGCAUGGAAUAAUGAAAUAGGACGUUUUGAUUCUAUUUUGUUGGUUUCUAGGAUCGACGUAAUGAUUAAUAGGGAUAGUUGGGGGCAUUAGUAUUCAAUUGUCAGAGGUGAAAUUCUUGGAUUUAUUGAAGACUAACUACUGCGAAAGCAUUUGCCAAGGAUGUUUUCAUUAAUCAAGAACGAAAGUUAGGGGAUCGAAGACGAUCAGAUACCGUCGUAGUCUUAACCAUAAACUAUGCCGACUAGGGAUCGGAUGAUGUUAAUUUUUUAAUGUACUC
rnacentral:rRNA from 1 species